rnacentral:ncRNA from 2 species
AUGAAGAUAGCGAGAGAUAUCUUUGUAAAAAGAUAGCCGAAGGGGAAAUAUAAAGGCCCGCCAAGCCUUUAUAGAAGCUCUCAGGCAAAAGUAUCGCUAUCGGAUA